rnacentral:rRNA from 1 species
GAUGAACGCUGGCGGCGUGCCUAAUACAUGCAAGUCGAGCGAACAGACGAGGAGCUUGCUCCUUUGACGUUAGCGGCGGACGGGUGAGUAACACGUGGGUAACCUACCUAUAAGACUGGGAUAACUUCGGGAAACCGGAGCUAAUACCGGAUAAUAUUUCGAACCGCAUGGUUCAAUAGUGAAAGAUGGCUUUGCUAUCACUUAUAGAUGGACCUGCGCCGUAUUAGCUAGUUGGUAAGGUAACGGCUUACCAAGGCAACGAUACGUAGCCGACCUGAGAGGGUGUUCGCCAACCCGGAAACUGAGACAGGGUCCAGAUUCCUAGGGGAGGAAGCAGUAGGGAAUCUUCCGCAAUGGGCGAAGGCCUGACGGAGCAACGCGGGGUGAGUGAUGAAGGUCUUCGGAUCGUAAAACUCUGUUAUUAGGGAAGAAUAAAGGUGUAAGUAACUGUGCACGUCUUGACGGUCCCUAAUAAGAAAGCCACGGCUAACUCCGU